rnacentral:rRNA from 1 species
ACGCGAAAGUCCCCUUCGGGGGACAAGUAGAGUGGCGCACGGGUGAGUAACACGUAGGUAAUCUACCUUUGGAUGGGGAAUAACAACCGGAAACGGUUGCUAAUACCGCAUAAUGCAGCGGCACCUAAUGGUGACAGUUGUUAAAGCGGGGGAUCGAAAGACCUCGCGUCUAAAGAGGAGCCUGCGGCAGAUUAGCUAGUUGGUAAGGUAAUGGCUUACCAAGGCGAUGAUCUGUAGCCGGCCUGAGAGGGCGGUCGGCCACACUGACACUGACAUACGGGUCAGACUCCUACGGGAGGCAGCAGUCGGGAAUUUUGGGCAAUGGGCGAAAGCCUGACCCAGCAACGCCGCGUGAAGGAUGAAAUCCCUCGGGAUGUAAACUUCGCAAGAACGGGAAGAAUAAGUAAGAGCUAACAUCUCUUAUGAUGACGGUACUGUUUGUAAGCUCCGGCUAACUCCGUGCCAGCAGCCGCGGUAAUACGGGGGGAGCAAGCGUUG